UACGUAGGAGGCGAGCGUUGUCCGGAUUUACUGGGCGUAAAGCGCGCGCAGGCGGCACACUAAGUACGAUGUGAAAUCUCCCUGCUCAACGGGGAGGGUGCAUAGUAAACUGGUGAGCUAGAGGACGGUAGAGGGGGGUGGAAUUGACGGUGUAGCGGUGAAAUGCUUAGAUAUCGUCAAGAACACCGAUAGCGAAGGCAGCUUACUAAGCAGUAACUGACGCUGAUGCACGAAAGUGUGGGGAUCAAACAGG
rnacentral:rRNA from 1 species